UGACUUUUCUGGCACAGGAGAUACCCUGAUCAGCUAGGUGGUUCUCUCAAGACGAAACAUCUGCAUUGCACCUAGCAGAGGCUGACCCCUGUUAUUGGCCCUUAUGUGGAUUACUCGAAUACGUAAUUUUUUUAGUGUGGGGGAAUGUGUUAGCACUUUCCUAUG
rnacentral:snRNA from 1 species